ACCGGCCACACUGGGACUGAUACACGGCCCANACUCCUACGGGAGGCAGCAGUGGGGAAUAUUGNGCAAUGGGCGNAAGCCUGACNCAGCGACGCCNCGUGNGGGAUGAAGGCCUUCGGGUUGUAAACCUCUUUCAGCAGGGAAGAAGCGAAAGUGACGGUACCUGCAGAANAAGCACCGGCUAACUANGUGCCAGCAGCCGCGGUANUACAUAGGGUGCAAGCGUUGUCCGGANUUAUUGGGCGUAAAGAGCUCGUAGGNGGUUNGUCACGU
rnacentral:rRNA from 1 species